rnacentral:rRNA from 1 species
UACAGAGGGGGCGAGCGUUGUUCGGAAUUACUGGGCGUAAAGGGCGCGUAGGCGGCCCGCUAAGUCGAACGUGAAAUCCCCAGGCUCAACCUGGGAACUGCGUCCGAUACUGGCAGGCUUGAAUCCGGGAGAGGGAUGUGGAAUUCCAGGUGUAGCGGUGAAAUGCGUAGAUAUCUGGAGGAACACCGGUGGCGAAGGCGGCAUCCUGGACCGGUAUUGACGCUGAGGCACGAAAGCGUGGGGAGCAAACAGG